GUGAGACAGGUGCUGCAUGGCUGUCGUCAGCUCGUGUUGUGAAAUGUUGGGUUAAGUCCCGCAACGAGCGCAACCCUUAUCCUUUGUUGCCAGCGGUCCGGCCGGGAACUCAAAGGAGACUGCCAGUGAUAAACUGGAGGAAGGUGGGGAUGACGUCAAGUCAUCAUGGCCCUUACGACCAGGGCUACACACGUGCUACAA
rnacentral:rRNA from 1 species